rnacentral:tRNA from 1 species
GGAGAGUUGGCAGAGUGGUCGAAUGCGAUGGUCUUGAAAACCAUUGUACCUUCACGGGUACCGGGGGUUCGAAUCCCUCACUCUCCGCAA